rnacentral:rRNA from 1 species
GAUGAACGCUGGCGGCGUGCCUAAUACAUGCAAGUCGAGCGAACAGAUGAGGAGCUUGCUCCUCUGACGUUAGCGGCGGACGGGUGAGUAACACGUGGAUAACCUACCUAUAAGACUGGGAUAACUUCGGGAAACCGGAGCUAAUACCGGAUAAUAUAUUGAACCGCAUGGUUCAAUAGUGAAAGACGGUUUUGCUGUCACUUAUAGAUGGAUCCGCGCCGCAUUAGCUAGUUGGUAAGGUAACGGCUUACCAAGGCAACGAUGCGUAGCCGACCUGAGAGGGUGAUCGGCCGCACUGGAACUGAGACACGGUCCAGACUCCUACGGGAGGCAGCAGUAGGGAAUCUUCCGCAAUGGGCGAAAGCCUGACGGAGCAACGCCGCGUGAGUGAUGAAGGUCUUCGGAUCGUAAAACUCUGUUAUUAGGGAAGAACAAAUGUGUAAGUAACUAUGCACGUCUUGACGGUACCUAAUCAGAAAGCCACGGCUAACUACGUGCCAGCAGCCGCGGUAAUACGUAGGUGGCAAGCGUUAUCCGGAAUUAUUGGGCGUAAAGCGCGCGUAGGCGGUUUUUUAAGUCUGAUGUGAAAGCCCACGGCUCAACCGUGGAGGGUCAUUGGAAACUGGAAAACUUGAGUGCAGAAGAGGAAAGUGGAAUUCCAUGUGUAGCGGUGAAAUGCGCAGAGAUAUGGAGGAACACCAGUGGCGAAGGCGACUUUCUGGUCUGUAACUGACGCUGAUGUGCGAAAGCGUGGGGAUCAAACAGG